rnacentral:misc_RNA from 1 species
CUGUUAUUUAUUUUACAGUAACAAAUAAAUUAAACUUCAUAAUAAGAAAAGAAAUCAGCUAUUUCAAGAACGCUUGGACAAUUUGGUAUAUGUGAAGUACAAUAGAGCGUUGCUACGUCGACACACUUUUGGGGAUAUCACAACACCUAUUGNNNNNNNNNNNUGAUGAGAGUAAUGAAUGGUUGCUUGGUGAAUUAGAAAAAGGUGAUGGGGAUGAUGAUGAUGAUGAUUCUCUUGUUUUCAUGAAUGACGUAUUGACCUGGGGUGAUGUUGGUAGAGCAGCUGGAGUUUCUGAAUCUCGUUAUGAAUCGAGAUCGGCUGCAAGAUCAACACCACCAGUUGAAACUCCAUCAUUUCGAAGGCCUCGUGCAAUGAGAGGUGCAUCCUCUUCGCAAGUUGAUGAUGAUGAAAAGGAGGAAGAAUUUGUGAUGGCCGUUGUUGAAAAUGAAGAUGAUUUUGGAAAUCUU